GAUUGCAUUCCCUUCUGUUUUAUUCACGACAAUUGUACUCGAAAGCGUCUCCAACGAAUAUUUGUGCAACGUUCUCUUGUAUCUUACAAGGUGGUUUCGAACCCUAGAAUGAGUACCUGCGGAUUCCGAAAGCGUACCUACAAUUAGAAGUAGUUCGAUGCUAGAAAGAAUAGGUGCUAGAGAGUAGUCUACAUCGAUUUCUUAAAAUCGCGUUACAUGUGUUAUCAACAAAAGCAAAACAAAGUUCUUGAAGCUUACAAACGAAAAUUGACGAAACGAACGUUUAGGUUGCAUCGUAGACAAAUAAACGUAAUCCGAAUGAAACAAUCUAAUCAGAUUCGAGCCCACUUCUAAUCAUCUAUGUAGUGUUCACAAAGGUUUCCUGGUCGGUUUCCGAUUGUCGCAAAUGCGUCUAUCUAGGGUUACCAAAUUCGCUUCACCGUCGAGAAAGCCUGCGACACGUACAUUGCUCGGAUCAACGAAUAAUUUUUAUUUCUGAUCGAUUGUUACAGUUGCUCGUGUAAUAGUCGCAGACGUUUCUCGGCCGUGGACGAUCCUGAACCGGUAACCCUAAGUAAUCUACUGGAAGUAUUACAGUGUCUUUGAAAACUACCGGUCACCUAGUGGCGGUGCGACGUGCGACACAGAUCCGGCACACGACAGCUUCUCAACGAUCCUCGACACUCCCAAAUACCAACAACAGGUCCGCCUCGUCGAGAGAGCGCACACGAUGCAAUUACACCACAAAUACAAGUAUUACACAGAACAAAUACUUAAACGAGAUACGGGCCACAGACGAGAUACACACCACACAACACAGGACAACGACAUGACAAAAUGCUACGGUUCCGAGGAUGAUAUACAUUUACAUACGUUCCACCGGACGGUGGAAUAGCAAAAGCAUCAGUAGGUGCCAGCCAGUAAAUAAAUACACAGGCCGUCUUGAGAUCAUCGUACCUAGGCAGAGACGACGAGUCUGCCUCGUCCAAUCGGGAAUUGCUAGACUGUAAGGGACAUUGCUGUACAGAUUGCGAUUGAACCACCGUGUACGGUAUCUCUCGCCGUUGCUGCUCGCUCAUUCCGGUCGUGUCGACUAGCCCGAACUCCAAAUGUCUGGAAGAAAUCAUGCUCUCAAUCGUUACAUCGUUACAUCGAUCCGACGCGGCGCAACGCAUCGGUAUUGUGUGCCAAGGAACUGCCGAGGAUAUCUGCAGCGUUAAGGAGCCUUCACAGCGACUCUACUACACUUCAUUUCACGCGAACCAACCCCUUCCUCGACGCUAAAUCUACCGAGCCCCAAAACGAACUCACGUCUGCUGCUUUGUCACGAUCGAAAGAUUGCGUUUAUUUAAACUUUUCACCGCUUUCAUCGUAAUGCACUCACGAAUUAGGAAAUUUCAACAGAAAAUGUGAAAUCAGUCGCUAUAACCGCCCCCCGGUAAGUUCGAUACGUACGACGAGUACACAACGCGGAUUCUGGAACAGAACUAUAGCAACAUUCACAAUUUUUCAGAUGUUUCAACUUUGGAAGAUUGACUCGUCGAACAAUGCAGACUAGCAAUUUUAAAAUGGUAGUAACGUUAGAAGAGUUCUUGAGUACCGAUACGUUGCUUUCAAUUUAUUAAAAUUCUUACAAACAAAUAAGCGAUUUCUAAGUGGCUUUCCGUUUCCUCCAUCAGUUUACAACGAAUUUAGAUGAUUUUUAUUUUGCGUAUGGACAUUCGCGGUUUAACCCCUUGACGAAUAAGGGAAACAUUUUUCCCC